UUACUUGGUAUAUCUUGUUGUUUUAUGUUAUUCAAGCAUGGGUCCUAAGGAAUUCGUUGAAAUUCAUUGAUUUUAAAUGCUGGGCAAAUUCUGGGUUUUGGGAGUACACAAGAUUUGGCGGUUAUGGAAGCAGAUAUUAGAAGACAGGUGGAUUGGGAGGUGAAUGAUUGGACUGCAACUCAGUAAUUGCAGUUUGCAGCAAAACUGGAUAAUCAGUUGUUACAGCUACAAAGUGCCUUUCCAAAACUGGAAAAUGAAGGGGAGGAUCGACAGCUUGCGGAAGCAGAGAUAAGUGAUUUACAGAGACUCAACUAAAAACACUGGGAAGUCAGUAAAUGCGUUGAAGCGAUAUGGAGGCAAAAGUCACGGCAUAAUUGGUGUAAGUUUGGAGACCAACACACCAAAUUCUGGCAACAACUAUUAGGAGGGGAAGAAAUAAUAUCACAAGGAUUCUUCAUCAUGGGCUCAUCCACACCUCUCCAAAGGGUAGUAAGGAGGCUGCAAUAUCUUUUUUCUAAAAGGGUCAGCAUGGGACAAGCAGCAUGUCACACAAUAUCAUCCAAUCAAGCAAGGUUACUGGAGCAGGAGGUCACAAUGGCAGAGGUCAAGAAGCAGUAUGGGACUGUGAUGGUUCGAAGCCCCCCAUGGCUUCACAUUCAGCUUCUAGGCUUGGCACUUGAUUUGAGAUGAUAUCUUUGAUAUGGUGACUGAAUUUUUCAGAGUUGGAAAAAUUGCCUAAAGGGAUCAACACAUCACAUGUAGAAUUAAUCCUUAAAGUCAACGGAGUUCAGACCAAUCAGUUUGAUGCAUGGACUGCAUAACAUACUUGGAAAAUUACUCUUUAUGAGAUUGAAAGCUAUCUUGCCAAGCAUAAUCAGCCCUACUCAAACAGCUUUUAUAUCAGGAUGAUAAAUAUUAGAUAUGGACUCAUGAUGGCAAAUGAAGCACUUCAUGGGGUGAAGAAGAGUGGGAAGAAUGGGUUUAUUAUGAAGGUUGAUUUUCAUAAGGCGUUUGACAUCGUUGUUUGGGAAUAUUUGGAGGAAGUAAUGUCCUACAUUGGAUUUGGCAAGAAGUGGAUAUCUCUUGUUUCAUAAUGUAUUUCUGGAUCUAAACCUUCAAUACUUAUCAAUGGCUCACUUGUAUUACUUUAGGGUGACCCCCUAUUA